rnacentral:tRNA from 1 species
GGGGAUAUAGCUCAACUGGGAGAGCGCCGGCUUUGCAAGCCGGAGGUUGCCGGUUCGAUCCCGGCUAUCUCCACCA